rnacentral:tRNA from 1 species
UCCCUGGUGGCUUAGUUGGUAAAGAAUCUUCCUGCAAUGUAGGAGACCCAGGUUUGAUCCCUGGGUGGGGAA